GUGCACGCUGGCGGUAGGCCUAACACAUGCAAGUCGCACGGCAGCACAGUAAGAGCUUGCUCUUACGGGUGGCGAGUGGCGGACGGGUGAGGAAUACAUCGGAAUCUACUUUUUCGUGGGGGAUAACGUAGGGAAACUUACGCUAAUACCGCAUACGACCUACGGGUGAAAGCAGGGGAUCUUCGGACCUUGCGCGAUUGAAUGAGCCGAUGUCGGAUUAGCUAGUUGGCGGGGUAAAGGCCCACCAAGGCGACGAUCCGUAGCUGGUCUGAGAGGAUGAUCAGCCACACUGGAACUGAGACACGGUCCAGACUCCUACGGGAGGCAGCAGUGGGGAAUAUUGGACAAUGGGCGCAAGCCUGAUCCAGCCAUACCGCGUGGGUGAAGAAGGCCUUCGGGUUGUAAAGCCCUUUUGUUGGGAAAGAAAGGCAGCAGGUUAAUACCCCGCUGUUCUGACGGUACCCAAAGAAUAAGCACCGGCUAACUUCGUG
rnacentral:rRNA from 1 species